GGCUUUGAGAAAAAAAAUCAAACAACACCAAAUCAUAGAAAGAAAGAGUUGUUUGACAUGAAAAUUGAACAGCAUGUAAAACAUGUAUAUUACUUUAUGAAACAAGUGUCAGUAUACUGAUAUAAACAUUGAAUUCCGGAAAAGGGCUGCCUAAAGAGGUUCCACUUCCGGACAGUUAAACGCCUUUAAAAACUCACCAUUUUCAAAGAACAGUUACACAUGUUCGUUUUGAUGCAUUUGCAAUAGCGUGCGAGUGGUGAAAUUUCGCAUAACAAGUUGGAACACAGUUUUCAGCAAUUGUUUAUCUUUAUUUCUUCACAAAUGACAUUCAUUUUCAAAGGGAGACAACUGUUCCCGAUUAUUUUAAGUACAAAUGGCAUUCAUUUUCAAAGGGAAACAACUUUUUCCGAUUAUUUUAAGUAAUCUUUGAGAAAAAGUUGUCUCCCUUUGAAAAUGAAUGCCAUUUGUAAAGAAAAAAAGAUAAACAAUUGCUGAAAACUAUGUUCCACCUUGUUACGUGAAAUUUCACCACUCGCACGCUAUUGCAAAUGCAUCAAAACAAACAUGUGUAACAGUUCUUUGAAAAUGAUGAGUUUUUAAAGGCGUUUAACUGUCCGGAAGUGGAGCCCCUUUAGGCAGCCCUUUUCCGGAAUUCAAUGUUUAUAUCAGUAUACUGACACUUGUUUCGUAAAGUAAUAUACAUGUUUUACAUGCUGUUCAAUUUUCAUGUCAAACAACUCUUUCUUUCUAUGAUUUGGUGUUGUUUGAUUUUUGUUUCUCAAGGCCUCCAUCGAAACCUUAAAUAACAACCAAUAAAUGUGACGCACCAUGACAUUUUGGGUCCAAAUUCGGCGUUACGUCAUUUGAGAAAACAUCGAUUAAAGUUACGUCACAAAAAAUGGUGGACGUUACCACGUGUUCACGGCAAUCAAUGCAUUAUUGUUUUCAAUAAUAGUCUACCCUGCCACAAGAACUAAAUGAAGUGACAUAUUAAACAUUUCCGUGUUUUGCAAUUCCGUUUCUUUAAAAUUUUUGAAUGAUUGAUAAUUAAUUUAUCGCCCUUUGAAUCGACACGCCAUUUGUAAACAUGGAAGGUCCCGGAGAAAAUGAAACUACCAAAAACAGUUAUUUGAUGAUUUAUUUCGAUUGUAUAAAGAAUGACAGUUAACGAAUCUCAAGUUCAACCACUGAGGAUUGUUUGGCUUGAUGCAAUGACCUUAAACAGUUAAAGGAUUUUCCAGGAAGGUCUAUACACCACAAGCUGGAGUUUUUGGGGUGAUGAAAGAACUAUGAAUAUGUGAAUGGGAAUGAAACAGAAGGAAAUAAUAUGUUCUACUGAUCAUCCAGCUGAAAUCAUGCCUAUGGGAUAGAGUGCAUGUCACAACUACUUACAUGAGCAAAUGACUCCAUACUGCACAAAUAAGGACAUGUUUCCUGCCCUCAUGACUUGAAAAAGUUAAACAUUCUAAUUCAAAUUACAAAUGUGUUUCAAGAAAAAGUAAAACUUAGUCAACUGUGAGAAAUAUUGGGUAAAAGUAUUUUAUAAGUGUUUUGUUGCCAAGACAGCUGUGAAGUGGUUUGAAAAGCAUUAUCUUAAUUGUUCUAACAAUACAGAAUUUAACUUAUGAAUUUUCCAAAACUGCAUGCAUGAAAUAUUAAGACAUGUCUGUUGAAUGAAUCCUAGUUGUUUCAAAACUACUACAUGUGUGACAUUUAAAGCACAACCUAUGGAUGAAACAUUUUUACAAUCAAAACUGCCUUGCCAGUGUGAGUGUAGGAAAGAUUUUCCCAGAAAUGGCCAUGACAGAAAACUUCCAAUAUAGCAGAAAAUAUUUGUUACUGGCUAAUUAUAAUAUAUUUUAUUUCAAGAAUUAAUCAUGUAAAUCCAUGGCUUUAAUUGUGUUAAAAGAUAUUUCACAUGAACUUUGCAGAAAUAGCUAAUUUUUGUUGCAAAACAUUGUGAGUUGCCAUGGUAACACAAAUUUGACUUAAAUUUAGAUUUGUUUGAUUAUGUAGACAACAUGUUUCUUGUUUAUAUUCUGCUAAUCAGACUAUGUUCUGCAAGAAAAUAUCUUUUAUGUGUAAUCAUUGCUUCAACAAAACAUGUCAUAACACAAAUCUGCCAUAAAAUGGCAGAGUUGUAAUGCAGGUAGGCAUAUCAGGAAAAUAUGUAGUUCUCAAAGUCAAAAUAUAUUACAUGAAAUAUGUUUUUUUUAUAAAUGAUCAUAAUUGACCAUUUAUGGUGUAAAACAAAUGUAUACUGAACAGAUGCUAAAUGAAUGUUCUGAUUCUUUCUGGAAAAUUUACAAAAAUACUACUAUUUUAAGAAAAUAGUGCAUUGUUGCCAUGGUAACGUUAAUUUGACUUUUAAAUUAUUUUGGAUAUCAUCAUAUGUAAACAAUAUCUUUCUUGUUUAUAUGUUAUAUUUGUUAAUCUGUAAUAUGUUAGUGAAUAUAUUUUCAUAUAUAAUAAUUGCACCAGCAAAGCACUAUGUUAUCACACAAGUCUGCCUUAAAAUGGCAAGAGUUGUAACUGAGAGAGAUGUAUCCGAAAAUUAUGUAUUUCUCAAACAAUAUUACAUUAAUUUGCAUGGAAUGAUGUCUCUUACUUUAAAUUAAGAAAACAGACAGAUUUUGAUGUAAAUAUAUGGAAAAACACUUCAAAUAUUCAAAUUAUUACAAAGAAAUUGACAAAAAUGUUAGUAUUUUUGUAAGAAAAUACCACAUUGUUGCCAUGGUAAUGUUAGUAUUUUUGUAAGAAAAUACCACAUCGUUGCCAUGGUAAUGAUUCACUGAUCAGUAUAUCUAAGUCUUCUGAAAUUUUAGCAAACUCACAGUUGAUAAUAACAGUCUAAUAAUUAUAUCUUCUUGCUUGA